UGCAUUUUCAUAAGAUGUCAGCCGUCGUAAGCUUAAGAAAAGGAAGAUCUAGCCUAGCUCGUCUUUGAUUGUUCAUUGAUAUGCCAAAUAUUAAGGAUUUCUAAUAGAAAUUGCAUAGAUGAUGCAUUCAAGCGAAGACAAAAACAAUGUGUACAUCAAGAGAAGAUCAUGCACUGAUGAUAAUUUUUACUUUUCUGUGAUCAAGAAUGUGGUCUCGGUAGUAUGAUUCUAUUUGGGUUGUUGUGGACUGAAUGACUAAAUCGGCUCAUUUCCUUCCCGUUAAGACCUCAUUUUCAGCCGUAGACUAUGAUGUGCCUCUUUCAGCAACUGAAGCCACUCAACAGGAACUUCCAAAGGAGGAGCCAACCCUCGAACAACCACUGCUGAAGUCAAGCCUUCUGAAGGAGGAGCUGAAUGAAGUAUUUGGCAAAUUAGUGACAUUCGAGUGUGUUUAGCUUGAGGGGAAAUGUUUUUCAGGAAAAUUUGUGAUUUUCUCUGGUGUUUAGUAAGUAAAGCAAUAAUAGUCUUAAAAGUUUUUACAUAUAAUCUAGGCAAACACUAUAGAAGUGGGGGAGGGGUGCGUUAAAGGAUAGGGAGAAGUGGAGUACCACACUACCACUUGUGGAACUUGUUUUCCCUCGGGAAGUCAUUUUGUUUUUUUUAAGGAACUUGUGUUUCUAAAGAAAAUAUUUUUUAAAAUUGAA